rnacentral:rRNA from 1 species
UUGCCAAAACAGCCUAUAUACCGCCGUCGCCAGCCCACCUCGUGAGAGCACAACAGUGAGCCCAACAGCCCACAGCCCACUAACAAGACAGGUCGAGGUAUAGCCUAUGAGAUGGAAGAAAUGGGCUACAUUUUCUAAAAUAGAAAACCCAACGAAAAGGGGCUUGAAACCUGCCCCCAGAAGG